UACGUAGGGUGCGAGCGUUAAUCGGAAUUACUGGGCGUAAAGCGUGCGCAGGCGGUUCGUUAAGACAGAUGUGAAAUCCCCGGGCUUAACCUGGGAACUGCAUUUGUGACUGGCGAGCUAGAGUAUGGCAGAGGGGGGUAGAAUUCCACGUGUAGCAGUGAAAUGCGUAGAGAUGUGGAGGAAUACCGAUGGCGAAGGCAGCCCCCUGGGCCAAUACUGACGCUCAUGCACGAAAGCGUGGGGAGCAAACGAGG
rnacentral:rRNA from 1 species